rnacentral:rRNA from 1 species
UUGACGCUGAGGUUGGUACUUGUACCGACUGGAUGAGCAGCGAACGGGUGAGUAACGCGUGGGGAAUCUGCCUUUGAGCGGGGGACAACAUUUGGAAACGAAUGCUAAUACCGCAUAAAAACUUUAAACACAAGUUUUAAGUUUGAAAGAUGCAAUUGCAUCACUCAAAGAUGAUCCCGCGUUGUAUUAGCUAGUUGGUGAGGUAAAGGCUCACCAAGGCGAUGAUACAUAGCCGACCUGAGAGGGUGAUCGGCCACAUUGGGACUGAGACACGGCCCAAACUCCUACGGGAGGCAGCAGUAGGGAAUCUUCGGCAAUGGACGAAAGUCUGACCGAGCAACGCCGCGUGAGUGAAGAAGGUUUUCGGAUCGUAAAACUCUGUUGGUAGAGAAGAACGUUGGUGAGAGUGGAAAGCUCAUCAAGUGACGGUAACUNCCCNAAAGGGACGGCUAACUNCGUGCCAGCAGCCGCGGUANACNUAGGUCCCGAGCGUUGUCCGAUUUNUGGGCGUAANCGGGCCAGGUGGUUAUAAGUCUGGNUAAAAGCAGUGCUCACCAU